rnacentral:tRNA from 1 species
UGCUCUGUGGUGUAGUGGUAGCAUACUCACCCAGCAAGUGAGAGAUCUGGGUUCGAGUCCCGGUGGAGCAU